AACGAACGCUGGCGGCAGGCCUAACACAUGCAAGUCGAGCGCGCCCUUCGGGGUGAGCGGCGGACGGGUGAGUAACGCGUGGGAACGUACCCUUUGCUACGGAAUAGUCUCGGGAAACUGGGGGUAAUACCGUAUGAGCCCUUCGGGGGAAAGAUUUAUCGGCAAAGGAUCGGCCCGCGUUGGAUUAGGUAGUUGGUGGGGUAAUGGCCCACCAAGCCGACGAUCCAUAGCUGGUUUGAGAGGAUGAUCAGCCACACUGGGACUGAGACACGGCCCAGACUCCUACGGGAGGCAGCAGUGGGGAAUCUUAGACAAUGGGCGCAAGCCUGAUCUAGCCAUGCCGCGUGAGCGAUGAAGGCCUUAGGGUUGUAAAGCUCUUUCGUGGGGAAGAUAAUGACUGUACCCCAAGAAGAAGCCCCGGCUAACUCCGUG
rnacentral:rRNA from 1 species